UACAGAGGGUGCAAGCGUUGUUCGGAAUUACUGGGCGUAAAGCGCGUGUAGGCGGUUUAGUAAGUCGGUCGUGAAAGCCCUUGGCUUAACCAAGGAACUGCGAUCGAAACUGUUAGACUAGAGUAUCGGAGGGGAUGGCGGAAUUCCCGGUGUAGAGGUGAAAUUCGUAGAUAUCGGGAGGAACACCUGUGGCGAAAGCGGCGCACUGGACCAUAACUGACGCUGAGGCGCGAAAGCUAGGGGAGCAAACAGG
rnacentral:rRNA from 1 species